AGAGCAGAAAUUACAACAGCAGAGGGAGGCAGAAAAUCAGUCUGCUCUCCAAGAUCUGGUGCUCCUGCUGAAGAGCUGAAAAAUUACACAGAAACUAAAAAGCGAGCACUAGAAAAAUAGCUUGAAGACUGCAAUCAUAGGACCUUACUGUUCCAGACUCUGGUCAUAUACAGGCACUGGGACUUCCUUUUAGCUGUAAGGAUAACAGCUUUAAGCCUCAACAGAGGGAAAAGGGGUGCCUGGAUUCAGGCCUUUUUGCUUGGGGCUCUGGUAAUCCAGAGACAAAAGUCGAUAGUGAAUUCCAGAGCAGCAGCUGUGAUGUUUCCAUCUGGGGACCAGAAAACAUCUGAAUGAAUGAGAGAAAUGAUCUAACAAUCAAUAACUUUUUUCAAGGCAUCACAAGAAGCCUUUGAACAAUAUCACAAGGAGGGGAAAAAAAAAAAGGAGAAAAGCUGUUCUAAUGGAGAGGAAAAUGAACCCACAAACAAGACCAAAUUGACAUACAGUAUAGCACUAUGUUCACAAGAGUAAAAAGAAGAGUCUGAGAACUGAGAGUUUCGGUCCAGAAAAGAACAUAAUUUAAACUGUUCUUAGCCAGCUUGCCAGUGGAGAAAUUCCACCUAUUGUGGAGAGGAAGACUGGUUACUUCAAUUAAUAGAAAUUAUUAGAUCUUUCAAAGUUGCCUCACAGUUCACUAGACCUAAAAAUUCAUCCUAUCAUGCAGACUGCACCUUGAUCGAGGAGAAAGGUAAGAUGAAAGAUCACCUGUCUAUCUGAGGGGAAAGGGGGAGGGCUAAGAAAGAAAACGACAGUAAUAAACCCUAGGUCCUGAUUCUUUUUCCCUGUAGUCUUUACUGGGAAAGCAGUUUCCAGAUUAACCUGGUGAAGUUUUAUGUACUACACCUCCAAAUGCAGUGUGUGGAAAGCAGGCAAUGGCGAGCUCAGAGACCCCUUCUUGCCAUCUGAGACCUUUGCUCACAGAGAAGGUGCGAGAUGAAAAAAGCAGACAAAGGGGGGAAGAAAGGAAAAAAAAAACCUAUUUCAGACAAGAAGGCUCAACAGUGCAGCAGCCAGUGAUAGGAACAGAAAUCAGUUCAAGGCUGAACAGAGUUCUUUUAUAACUUACAAAUGGCUGAAAUGAUUUGUAGGAUUUAAGAAUUUGCUGGUCCUGGUUAGAGUCCAGAAAGUCAGGAAACAAUAAGGAAAAAUAGUUUUUAGAUGUACUCCUGGGUAAAAUAGUUUCCAGGGAGCUUUUUAUAUGUUGCCUAGGGAAAAUCCACCACAGAGCAGCAAUGCAAUUGCUAAGUCCUCAUCUCACCGCUAAGGUGAUGUAUUAAACGGAGGUGUUGCAGUGGAGUAAAUGGAGUAAAUGUAGCAUUUCUAUUCAGUGUCACCACCUCACUCUUUCAUGAGAACAUCAAAAAAUAGCUGCCAAGUCUUCUGAUUGGCAAGAUUACUGCUAAAGGGGCUAUGGUGUCAUGGAGAAAAAACCAUCAGGUAUUAAAAAACCGCAACACAAAAUCGUUUGGUUAAUCUCAAAAAUUCUUGCUAUGUCUAAAAAUUGCAUGGUAGAAUUAGUAAUAAAUUAUCUUGAAUGUUUAUACAGGUUUUCUUUUUAUGUGUCAUGCUCCCGUAAGGAGAAAUGCAUUCCCUGAUUAUCUUUAUGCCAUGUUGCUCUAUCAUAUUUUAUUUAAAAGUAGAAAUAUAUAAUGUCUGGUCUUAGUAUGGCAUAGAAAAAUCUCAAAAGCAAGUGAAAUUGUGAGUUCUGCCAGAGUUUGCAGAGAAUGUGAGGAAUGGUUUCCUCAUUUUAUUCAUCUGGAGUCCAGGGAGCCCUACUCUUGCUUCACUGGGAAAGUGCAUAUCCCCAGGGCACUCCAGAUUUGCUGCAGCCCUCACUCUCCAACACACUGGCCAGAAUUCAUUGUAUCCAGCGAAGCGAUAAUUACAUUAUGGUGUAUAAUGACCUCUUUAUUAUUUUGCAGAAGUGUAAAAAAUAGGAACAAGGACUUCAAGAAGUGAGAAAGUCAGCUCGCAGCAGGUGGGUGCUGGCAGAAGGGGCAGGCUGAUGUGCCAAGCCCUGGGCAAACAUAGGUCCAAGGGGCGAUGGCAUGCAGGGAGCUCGAGUUCUGCACAGGAUAAUGGGACUUACAGCCCAAAGACCAGAACUGUUCUGCCUACUAAGCACACUGGAAAACACUUCCUUGAAACACAGUUGAAAAUAAUAGUCCUCAUAUUUUAUGUCAAUUGGUAAUUUCAAAGAUAAGCCACAGCUCUGUGUGUAUUUUUAUGAGGGUAGGAAGCAGAGAAUGAAACAUUUCAGAGCACCAGAAGAUGAGAAUUACUGCAGGAAGCAGGAGUUGUGCUGUAGAAUUUAAGCAUUGCUACAGUGAAAUUUGGUCCCUAUCCUGCAAAGUAUGUACCGCUAAUUAUUUCAUGACAUUUCUCAUACAAACACAACCCCAGAAUCAGAUUUAAUAAUUUAAAAAGGCAGGGAUGUAUGAAACAUCAUUAAGUCAACAAAGCUUAAAUAGAUGUCUUUGUGAACCACCUAAGCUUGAAACCUCACAAGCCCUCCCUGCUGUAAAAUGGGAACUUAAUGUUAUGAUACUCUGUUUUUAAAGGUAGGCAAUUCAGAAAUGCUGAAUUUUAUUACAUGGAAUUCUGCGAUCUCUGUAGAAUGGAUCUAAUAUUGGAUUUACCAAUUAUGUCUCACAACUAAAGAUAUAAUUCACAUGUUUAAGGCUCCAUAGAUGUUUAAUCAAUAACACUCUGAGUAAAUGUGUUUUUAGAAUCUAUGAGCCAUUAACCCUCAAAAGCUGUAAGUUUGUAGCAGGAAUGUUUCUGUCUUCAUGUGGAAACUCAUCAAUGCCUAUUGACAUCUCUGUGUUUAAUUGCAAUUUAAAUCACGGUGUAUUUCAUUAGAUCUCAAAAUGGAUUACAAUGCUCCAUUAAUUUUGUAGUUAUGUAUGGGAAAGACCUAGUAGUGACUCUAUGGGUCAUAUAUGGGCCUCAGUUUGUGAAGGGAGCUCCUAUUGACAUCAGUGUGAGAUCUGCACAUGGACUGAAGGCAUGACACGGCCCAUUAUUCUCAAUUUUCCAUAGCACAGUCUCUGAGAGAACACAUCACAAUAGAAAUUGCUUAUCUGGGAUGCACCAAUAAGUGUAUUCCAGGUUUAUUUCAAUACUGCAGAGAUUCAAACAUUCUCUGUACCCAUACAGUGACAAUUUUCCUAAAUGUCAUUGUCUCCUUUUUCAUUCUUUUCACAUAUAACGUAUACAACCUCUCCAAAAAGAGAUGAUGAAAAGAUAUGUCAUUUGUAUUACCAGAAGGUGAAAUCAACAAAAGAUCAUAGCUAACUUCAACUGGGAGUUCUGUCAUUGCUUUCAGAUACAGACAAAUUAUUUGACAGAUACUUACUGCUAUUCUAUUUCCCAAUGCUGAGAAAAAAAAAUCUUAAAAGUCAUAGUUAAACUUUGGCCAAAGAUAGACUAGCAAAUAGUGGAAUUUUUAGGCUGCCUAUGUUAAGGAGAAGCAGAGCACGAGGGUAUGGAAACAAGCAAAGUCUAACAAGGAACAAUGGUGUAAGAUAUAGUAAACAAAAAAUAUAGACAGCAUCAAGAGGAAAAACAUAACACUGAGACCUCUUGAACCAUGAAAGUAAGGAAUAAUAGCUGCGAUUCUGUCCUCUGUAAUAUGUGUGUGGAGAAACUUUAGAAGCAACUGAUGUUUGGUGAACGUCCUCUAGCCCUACAGCUUUGUAUCAUGUUAUGCAUCCAGAAACAACUCCAAGCACUUUGGGCUCAUCUAGAGCUCAAAGACACAGAGACACAGAAAUGUUCCUCCCUAAGUUGUGCUGCAUGCAAGAAGUGAAGAAGUGACGGUAAUGCUCAGUGCUGUACUCUUCCUUGACCCCAUCGCCUACUUGUGGUGCAGAAAAGGAAACUUACAUUCAAAGCAGACUAUACACAAUCUUAACAGUAUGAUUUGGGGCUCUCCCUUCCUCAGAACUCUCCACGUCAUAGGCAUCUCAUGAUGUGGCAUCAUGAUUCCCUGCAGCACUGCCCAACACAGCUUCUUCUUUGCCUAUCCCAGGACCACUCCCAAGCUCAUCUUUUCUGUGGAAGUCCAAAGACUCUUAAAAUGCACAAAUCAAGGUACUAGGCAUGACAGGUGCUGAUCUUGUGCUUGUUUGAUUGCACCGUAGGAAAACCAAGAGUGGAAUAAAGACAUACAAAACUAAGGAGCCAUAAAAGUGACUUUAGAAGCAUCUGAGAAAAUCAGUAAAAUAGUUCAUAUUUUAGUCAGCAUAUUCAUCAAUAUCAAAGACAUCUUUGACCUUCCUACUCUCUUCAGAAAAGCAUUUACACUAAGCCCUUCCAGUAGAUAUUCUUCAGAAAGGAAAAGGUGCUCCUCUGAUCUCAGUAUGGAUCUGAGAAUAGGAAUGCAAAUCCCUGAACCAAUUCCAAGUGCUCUUGGACAUCACUGCCCAUACCACUCCGAGCCUCAUUUUCUCUGACUAGAGUAAAUCAUUAUACUGAUAUUCACCACCCUGAAGGCCAAUGAAACCUGAAAGUAAAGCUAAGUGACUCUGACUCCCAAAACACUUUUGAAAGUCCCACUGUAAUUUUCUCUUACACUUGAAGAUGGGCUCAUCAGGAAUUGGGAAAGACCUUGCAUAGGUAAAACAUACAUAUUUUAAGAACUACAUGGAAAUAAAGUAAAAUAGACCACAACAGUUACAAGUUUUUGCCCAUCUGUCCAAUUUGUGUCUUUCAAGCUCUAUACAGACAAGAACUUCAUUGUUUACAUAUCGCAUUGAGUGUGUUAGUAAUGUCGUUUGGAUCAAAGAAAUUGCCUAGCCCUAUUUUUGGCUCAGCAAGUUGCUGUAAAGGUUUUUAUGAAUACACUUGGUAGACAAGGUGUUCUUGUGCUGAAAUAUUGUUCCCAUAUCUUGAAUAUUACAAGAAAAAAAAAAAACUAUUAGAAAUAAACAACCAACACCAGAAACAGAUAUCUUUGAAUAGCAUUCUGACUCAUGCAAGAAUUUUCCUCAGUAACCAACUCCACUGCCAUCAUUAACUCCAUCUGUAAAAUGGAGGUUUUGAAGAUAGGCUCAAGAAGAGCAUAUCAAAGGUUGAAAAAGUCACUCCACCUAUUUAAAUCCACAGUCUCAUGCAAUCCAUUUUUACAGUGCACAUGCUGAGUACUGAAUAUGAACCAACAGAUACAAAGUGAUGAGUAAGACAGGAAACGCAGAGAAACCUGAUAUUGGAAUAAAGGGAGAACCGAAGCUAUCAAUUUACUCUCCUUGUGUAGCAAGAGCGAGGACAAUGCUGAACAUUAAAUGCUUAAUACACUUCCUUAUUAAGGGUUGGACUUAGACACCAACAAAUCUCCACUGAAACCUCAGCCCUGUUUCUCGUGUUGCAAAGGAGGCAGGGAGUAUUGAAAGAUGAUUCUCAUUAGUACCAAGAGCCCCUCUCACCCUCACCUUCCUCCAAGCCCCAUCGUCCCUGCUUGUUCUCUGUGCUGGAGCCUGGGAACAGUGCCCCUUCUCAUCACACACUGCUGACAGAGCUGGCUGGGAAGAGCACGCUGCUGGACUCGCAGAUGAGUGGAGCCUCUGAAGACCUCAAUUCUCUUUCUGCUCAGUUUUCACUGCAGUUCAUCUCCCUCAUCCUUAAGUAACCCCUCUGGGAAGUCAGAACAAGCAUCCAUUGCAGCAUAGGACCUUCAUUUUAACAAGCUUCUUGAAGACUCAUCUGUUGGUCUGGCUACAUUGUCCAGUCAGAGGAUUCCUUCCAAUCAGGAACUGGUGGUGGAGAGAAAAGGAAGUCUAAAUUCAGCAGCAAGGUCUGAGCAGCACCAGGAAAGGAAUUUCAGACUCACAGUGUCUGCGUCAUAAAACAGACAUAACAAAAUCAUUUCAAGCAUGUUUGAAGAUGGGUGUCCACGCUUGAAGGUUUUUGAGAAAAUGGCAAUGAUAAGGGAAGGCUAUACAGAAAAACAUUAAACGAGGCAGGGAGCUGAACAGUGAUGCAGUUCCUUCCAGAGCCAAAGGAGUGGAACUGCGUAAACAGUGGGACUGGAAUUCAGAAUACUUUCCAAACAGAUGUAACUGGCAUCUUCAUAACUGCUCAAUUAGUGGCACUUGAUUGGAUAAGCAAGUUCAUCUCCGGCCUCCUGAAUCCCUCCAUGACUUGUAAAUCAGCUCAGUGACCUGUGGACAGUCAGAAGGUAUGGAGCAAAUUCCAGCACUAAUGACAUUUAGAGUGAUAAACCACAGCUUCUAAUUAACACUGAAGAGAAAAGGAAGACAAAGUCAUCCUGGGAUUGUGUGAAUUCUGAGUACGGGUUGUUUUCUAACCAAAAUGCUGGCCUAAAAGAUUUUCUCGCUGACAACCUGUCACCACAAACCCUAUUCCAUCAUCCACAUUUGCUUCCCACUUCUCUUACCAUCCACGAUGCAGAAGAGGGAAGGCUCUCCAAGAGGCAGGACAUUCAUCUCUAUUCUUCUUUUCUUCUUCAGAAAUAAAGUCCUUCCACAGAGGAAUCUUCCUUGCAAUUUGCCAGCUCAUUUGAACUUUAGAAUCCUCUUAUUUGAAUUCAACAGGACAGUUCUUCAGUUGGACACACUUGGCUGAUCUGCAUCAUCAGUGAGAAAACCACCAUCUGCAACCACCUCUUGGCUGCUGCUCCCACUUAUGAACGUUCAGCUCUUUGAGGCUGUGAUUCUCAAUUUAUCUCAUUUUAUUUACUUACAUUUGAAGGCUUUUGUUACAAAGAACAAAACGUGUCUAACAGUUUGAUACUUCUUCCAUCCUUUCCUUGGGGCUGCAAUUAAACUUUCUUUAGGUAGUCUUUGGUGUGUGGGGUACUAUGAGCUGCUGGUUUUCGUAAGGCCCACAGCUGCUCUAUCUGCAGUACUCAGUAAUACUUCUGAACAGAUUAGAAAGACAUUGCUAACAUUGGGUAUGCUUGGGAGGAAUGAUUAUUUAGAUAGACAAAAUGAAAAUAGAGAAAAUAUUCUGCUUAGAGAAAGAUGCUGACUGCAAAGGACAACUAGCAUGUUUAUUAUGCAUCUGUCUUUUUCUUGUCCAUCACUUCCUUUUUGGGAAUACAGCACAGUAUUGGCUUCUUGUGAAUAAGCACCUGAUUCACAGCUUAGGACCUUGUAGAUUCCAUGUGAUUGUGUUAAGAUGUCCUUUUAUUUCUCAUGCUCAUACUAGAUUGCCUUGUGUGUCAGAACAUUUUCAUAACCCCUCCUCACAUACUGCUGUACAUACACAGAAAUAGAAAUGUGGGUUUCCUGGUCAGAUUUCUGAAGCAGAUUCUUUAAAAAAUGGCUGACUGAUCUGAUAGGAGACAAAAGGUCAGAAAUUCCCUUGUUCCCACCUUUAUCAGCUCUUGUCCCCAUCUUUGUCAUUCAUUCCCACAUUUUGGAAGGAAAAAAUAGUCAAGUAUCUUACUGAGUGGUUUCAGAGUUAUUCCCCCUCUCUUGCCUCACAGUUUGGAUGUUUCCCUUCCUCAUCACAUCGAUCUCCAUUUCACACCAGAUGAGCUUCAUUCACCAGUCCACAGUUGCCAACCAGAUUCCUCUGGAGAAGAGUAAGCCUAAAGCCACAAUCCAGUACCAAAGUGGUUCUCAAGCCAAACCAAAAGGAGGCUGUCUUCCAGUGCACAAUACAUUAUUUUCAGAAAGUUUUACAUCUCAUGUGCAGUGGUGACUUUCAACCUAGAGGUCUAAACUCUACUUAAUUGAAAAUAAAUUCUCUGAACCACAUGAAAUGAAAUUGUGAGGAGCCUAAGCACGUAUUGGUCUGAUCUAUAAUAUCUUUUUCUGUAACACCGAAUAGCGUAAGGUAUAUAUUACACACAAUGUCUGCCCAGUCUGCAACCCUCUCAGAUCACUAAGAAUCUCUGUCCUUGACAAGGCUACUUUCACAAAGUAUACAGAGAUCUUGAGACAUCUACCUCUAUAGGUUCAAAAUUUCUGGAUGGACAAAAAGACUAAUACUUUCAUAUGCAUUUGCACUUCCUCAGAGAACUAGUUAAAACUCCUGGCACUCACGUUGAGACAUAAAUCCAUGUCCGAACAAUGAUAUCAAUAAACAGCCCUCUGUAAUUAUGCCAAGAUGUUUUUGCAUUAAGAUGUUGUCAGCUCAUAUGUUUCAACUAAAUGCAUACUAUAAGACUAAACUGAAACUGUGAAUUUGGAAUUUCUUAAACUUUCAGGGGCAGAAAGGAGUCAUUUGAAUCUUGCGUGUUCAUUCCAUGAAGGGCUUAAUCAAAAUCAAUUCCCACCUCACCAACUUUAGAAAGGGAUUUAAAUCCAGUACCAGAUUUGGAUCUGAAUGUUGUGCCUGGGGGCUCAUUUCUGUUAUCAAUUAGUAGUUGCUCUUGUGAUGUAUCAAAAGGCAGUAGCGUAUAGGCUGUUGUUUAGAGAUGUACAUAAUGUAGCUUUAAAUUUCAUUGGGAAACUAAACAAAACCUCUGGCCUUAGGGCUGCAUGUUCAAAUACUACAGUCCCAUAGUGCAUUACACCAGUCAACACUUCUUUUCAAAUACCACCCGCAUAACAAUUAACCUCACUUCAACCUUGAGGUCUCUGAUUAGUGAUGGCCUAUUGUUUAAGUUACAUUAACAUAGCCCCUGUGUUGCCCUAUUCUCACUCAAAUGGACUAAUCAAAUCAGUCACCAAGGACUUAAGCUAAGUCCAACUUCUUUAGUAAGCAGCGAUUUUCUAUUUAAGUAGAAUGGUGGAUGUCAUCAACAUGGUCACAAUUAGUAUAGCUCUGGCAUGGAAAACACUUGUAAUGAUCUCCAAUUUGUGAAAUAUCAAGGGCCCCACCAACUUGCAAUAUGACAAUUUCUACGUAUGCUAGAAAAAUUACAAUAUCAAUAGAGUAGUCACUAAUGCAUUACCUUGUACAAGACUAGGUCUCUGAAAGGACAGAACCUCAAUUGGAUUCCAUUUAAUUUCAGGAAGCAAAUGCUGUUUUGAACCAAUAGAAAUAAAAACAUGUUACAGCAUUUUUUUUAAUGUUAUUUUUCACUACCCACACCACAUUUAUUAUGUAAAAGGAAAGCAUUGUUUAUUUUUCCAAAUCUAGUUACAGAUUUGUUAUUCUUGACAUUCUUAUUUGGAUUGCACAACUCUGUUUUCAUUCACAUUAACUAAUUCUUGCUGUUUCAGUCAUUUGUAAUUAAAAAUUGUCUAGUGUUCUUUCUUUAAAUUAUUUUUAGAACUGCCUUCUAUUUCUGACAAGGUAAUGGAUGACUCGAGCACAAAAUUCUAAGGAGAAACUGGAAAAGUCACGGAAAACACAAGUGAAACUUCACCAGUAGAAAUUCAGGGCCAAAUUUUCAAAAGGACAAUUAUGCACAUAAGGAGUUACUGCUCGCUUAUCAGCAGAGAUACCCACUGUGCACAGGCAAGCAGUUCUGUUAUUUUCAUGCACACCUCAUUGCUGCACAAGCAGCAUGCGCAUUUUCCAGCCAUUCAGAUCUUGUUUUCCUAUGAAAACACAGCAAAAAGUCAACGUGGGAACAACCAACCAUUGUUGCAGGGUGUAGAGGAUGCUGAGGAUUUUCAAAAUGGAGCCUGUCUUAGAGAUAAGAAUUUGCUCUGAUUGUAACAGUUAAUUCCUACCAAAUGAAAAAUAACCUUUUCUUUCCUUUUUUUUUUUUUUCCCCUUGUUGCCUUGUUUUCUUGCCAAACUGUAUCCGCUUUCACAGUCAAAUACUUUUUCAGAGACUGCAGCAAAAUCAUGCUCUCUCUUCUCUGAAUACGAUGAAGUUUCUAGAUAAUGUUCACACGUAGCUUUUCUUUUAUGAUCAGCUAGAACACUGUGCACAGAAUAAACAUUGCCAGAUGCAUUAAACGUU